AAUCAAUCAAAUAUUACCUGUAAGAGCCAAAACAUGAUGCUGACAUACUGAGGUUGGGAUGUAAUUCACUUUUACGAACACUAGGUGGCACUGUAUUAAUUGAUUGACCCAGCCACGGGUAUAUAGGUAAGGAGGUGUGUUGUUGGCGUCAGGGUUUAGCCCGGAAGGGCAAAUGGUUUUUGACCGCAGGGACGCUGAAUUGUUUGCCGUGUUAUUAUCGUGUACUCGUUGCUAUGGUAACUGGACUUGCUUCCUUAAUACCAUAUUAGGAAUAAAUGAACUAUUAUUGUAAAAC